CUUUGGGAUAAGCCUGGGAAACUGGGUCUAAUACCAGAUAGGAACCAUGCUUUGGAUGGUGUGGUGGAAAGUUUUUUCGGUGUGGGAUGAGCUUGCGGCCUAUCAGCUUGUUGGUGGGGUAAUGGCCUACCAAGGCGUCGACGGGUAGCCGGCCUGAGAGGGUGUACGGCCACAUUGGGACUGAGAUACGGCCCAG
rnacentral:rRNA from 1 species